AGAUUGAACGCUGGCGGCAGGCCUAACACAUGCAAGUCGAGCGGCAGCACGGGUACUUGUACCUGGUGGCGAGCGGCGGACGGGUGAGUAAUGCCUAGGAAUCUGCCUGGUAGUGGGGGGAUAACGCUCGGAAACGGACGCUAAUACCGCAUACGUCCUACGGGAGAAAGCAGGGGACCUUCGGGCCUUGCGCUAUCAGAUGAGCCUAGGUCGGAUUAGCUAGUUGGUGAGGUAAUGGCUCACCGAGGCGACGAUCCGUAACUGGUCUGAGAGGAUGAUCAGUCACACUGGAACUGAGACACGGUCCAGACUCCUACGGGAGGCAGCAGUGGGAAUAUUGGACAAUGGGCGAAAGCCUGAUCCAGCCAUGCCGCGUGUGUGAAGAAGGUCUUCGGAUUGUAAAGCACUUUAAGUUGGAGGAAGGCAGUUACUAAUACGUAUCUGUUUUGACGUUACCGACAGAAUAAGCACCGGCUAACUCUGUG
rnacentral:rRNA from 1 species